AUUGAACGCUGGCGGCAGGCUUAACACAUGCAAGUCGAGCGGGGUGAUGGUGCUUGCACUAUCACUUAGCGGCGGACGGGUGAGUAGUGCUUAGGAAUCUGCCUAUUAGUGGGGGACAACAUCUCGAAAGGGAUGCUAAUACCGCAUACGUCCUACGGGAGAAAGCAGGGGAUCACUUGUGACCUUGCGCUAAUAGAUGAGCCUAAGUCGGAUUAGCUAGUUGGUGGGGUAAAGGCCUACCAAGGCGACGAUCUGUAGCGGGUCUGAGAGGAUGAUCCGCCACACUGGGACUGAGACACGGCCCAGACUCCUCCGGGAGGCAGCAGUGGGGAAUUUUGGACAAUGGGCGCAAGCCUGAUCCAGCAAUGCCGCGUGAGUGAAGAAGGCCUUCGGGUUGUAAAGCUCUUUUGUCAGGGAAGAAACGGCUGAGGAUAAUACCUUCGGCUAAUGACGGUACCUGAAGAAUAAGCACCGGCUAACUACGUGCCAGCCGCCGCAGUAA
rnacentral:rRNA from 1 species